AUUAACUCCUUUUUAAACUUUCAUGGGAUAUGCUAGUAUACUAUGGUUUACAACAUCGCAUUUUAUUGAGUUUAAUUUUAAUCCUUUUAACUAUUUUAAAAUGGGAUGUUUUAACUUUUAAAAAAAAUCAUUGUUAUUUGCUAUGUAUUGCUAUGAUGUUGCGGUAUACUGAAUAAAGUCAAGUCAAGUCAAAACAUUUUAUUUUUAUUUUUUAUCAGCUGAACGAGGCUAAUGAAGAUUAUGAACCGUACCAUUAUUUAUUUAUUUGUUAGGCCAAUAGCGCCUUCCGAACUAAUGUGGAUACACCUAAAGGUGACACAUCGAAGACACUCAAUUAAUUCCUAGUAGCUUAAAUUAAGUAUAAAGGCUUGUGGACAAAUAAUACUCCACCAAAGCAAGACAAUGCGCCAUUGACAGGCGAGUAUUGUACUGCAGACAGGUUCAUUAUUAUUAUGUUCACACCUCUUUAGUUAAUGUACUCUCUAUUCUAGAUUUUAAAGGCUUCUAUUUUUUUAAUCUGAGGAUAUUUUUUUACUGUAUUGUUUGAUUUUAGAGAUUGUGGUAUCGAUUGUUGAUGCUCUAUUUGCCAUUAAAGAUGAAGAAAACGUUUUAAAAUACAAAUUUGAAUUAUUCAUUUGAAAGAAUCACAUAUACGGAAGAGUGACAGCGUCCUAGGUAUAGCCUAAUGCAGCGGAUCGUAGAGGCUCUACCAAAUAUUCGCGUUAUAAAUGGUGGUAUAGCUGUUUAACCCUGACUAAAAUAUUACCAAGGCCUAAGCCCAUCGUUCUUUGAUGAUGAUAUAUCCAUUGAUCGAUCUGAUCUAUUUGUAUAAAUAAUAGUCUGAAGUAGUUUUAAGUUAUAUCGUUUAGGCGUAAUACGGUAUUAAAUCUGUCUGUUUAUUUCUA